CCCUUAGAUGCUCUGGGCCGCACGCGCGCUACACUGGUCGAUGCAACGAGUUUCUUUCCUUGGCCGAUAGGCCUGGGCAAUCUUUGAACGCCAGUCGUGAUGGGGAUAGAUUCUUGCAAUUUUUGAUCUUCAACGAGGAAUUCCUAGUAAACGCGAGUCAUCAACUCGCAUUGAUUACGUCCCUGCCCUUUGUACACACCGCCCGUCGCACCUACCGAUUGAAUGGUCCGGUGAACCCUCCGGAUCGGCCCGCGCCAACGCAAGUUGAGCAAAGGCCGAGAAGUUGGGUAAACCUUACCAUUUAGAGGAAGGUGAAGUCGUAACA
rnacentral:rRNA from 1 species